rnacentral:rRNA from 1 species
CCUACGGGUGGCAGCAGUGAGGAAUAUUGGUCAAUGGCCGGAAGGCUGAACCAGCCAAGCCGCGUGAAGGACGAAGGUGCCAAGCAUUGUAAACUUCUUUUGUCAAGGGACAAAAUCAGGCUCGAGAGCCUGACCGAGGGUACUUGAAGAAAAAGCAUCGGCUAACUCCGUGCCAGCAGCCGCGGUAAUACGUAGGUGGCAAGCGUUGUCCGGAUUUACUGGGUGUAAAGGGCGUGUAGCCGGGAAGGCAAGUCAGAUGUGAAAUCUGGAGGCUCAACCUCCAAAUUGCAUUUGAAACUGUUUGUCUUGAGUACUGGAGAGGCAGACGGAAUUCCUUGUGUAGCGGUGAAAUGCGUAGAUAUAAGGAGGAACACCAGUGGCGAAGGCGGUCUGCUGGACAGCAACUGACGGUGAGGCGCGAAAGCGUGGGGAGCAAACAGGAUUAGAUACCCUAGUAGUC